AACCUAAACCUUUUUUUUUGGUGGGGGUGAAGCAUAAAGAACAGCUUUAUUGCUUUGCCAGGCUAAGGAGGCCACAGCAGGCUAAGGACCUCAAAACUGUGUCCUCCCUUGAGAGGGGAUAGCAAGGGGUUCUAUAGGUUUAGCUUAAUGGUGGGCAUGGGGGUGGCGGAGCUGUCUAGAAGCAUCAGGGUGCUUGCAUUCUUCUCCCUGGAUAGGAGAUUAGGAUAGACCAUUUCAAAGUCAUCAAGGCUGGAGUCAGGUGGUCCAUGGAAUGUUUCCAGUGUCUUUGGGGUUAUGGCAUUUUGACCUUCUCUCUGGAGUGAAGAUUGCUCAUCCACGGGGCGGGCGUGGGGCGGGGGGUGGGGGGGGGUCGCAAUCCUUAGGGAGUGUUUCAAGGGUAGAGAAAACACCAGGUUCACUACAACUCUGACUCGACAGUAGUCAUUAGUCAUAAGUUCGUGGGCCAAGGCAAGCCGUAACCUAAUGGAGACUAUUUCAAAGUAGCUUUUAGCUGUAACAAUGUCUCCGGCUCCAACACACCAGCACUCCAGGGCUUGAGCUUGGUUUCAGUUUCAGAGGAGGGAAUUGUGGCUCCAAGAAUUAACCCCUUUGUUCCUUUGGUUUCUGUGGGCCUGGUUCGGGGAGCCCAUCCACAUCACCGCCUUUUGAGAGGCCAUCUGACAACUGUUUCAACAAAGCGACGUCGUCUCAAAACAAGGAAACCAGUUCCAUGAAAUGGAGGGUCUCUCCCUCCCUCUCCCUCCCUCUCCCUCCCUCUCCCUCCCUCUCCUUCUCACUCUCCUCUACCCACAGCUCAUGGCAACAUGGGAUUCAUUCCAAGGGGAGGGGCACCACUUGAGACGCAGCACACAGCCUGGCGCUGGACGCCAAACCCGGCCCGGCCGGCGUGACCCUCCCCCAACUCGGAGGGGGGAGGCACAGGCCGCAUUAGGCAAAAGAGCAGUGCUUGGCCCCCACCAUGGGGGGGCCAGCGCACACCUCGCACAAGGGCGGCUCUUGCCCACACACUGUGGCAAGUAGGCAGCUACUGCCUGCAGACUUCAGAGGAGUAGCUGAAGUCCAGGUACCCCAAGGCCCCCCUCUGAGAGCGCUAGAGAAGACUUUCUCACCGAGGGCGCGUAGUGCCCCACACACCAUCGCUCGCCCCUUCGGGGACCCACAGGAGUGGGAACACACUCCCAAAAAGUGGGAAGCCAGAAGGGGGGGCUGCUCGUGGGGCACACCACCACCACAGUGGGGACCCGAGGGGACUCACCGCUGGGAGAGGAAAACGACACCACCGCUCGGCCUCGGGCAUCUGACAGGCAACCCGGAGUACUCCAGGGGCACCACAGAGGACCAGGGGAGGGACCGCCCACAAGGCACACGCCAAGGAGGCAAAGCGAGAAUGCCUGCUGCUGCGGCCCAAAGAACCCAGCCCCCCCCCCCCCCCCCCCCCCCNCCAGAAGGCAGCAGGGCGGGAGACCAGAGGUCAGGCCAGAGGCCGCACCCCUAUCUUCCCCCACAACACCCGCAGGUGGGGGAGGAGCAGCGAGGGGCCCGCGGACAGAAUGAGAGGUGCGGCCUAGCUCACCGUGAGAGGCUGUCCCUCAUCUGGCGUGGCUUAGGCCCAAGCCCAGGAGAGCGCCACAUCACCACAUUGAUGUAAACCUUUUUUUUUAAUCAUUUCAUAAUUAUGUUGGUUGACUUGUCUGUGAUUCUGAUCUUACAAGGAGAUGAAACUCUUUGUAGCAGUGGGUGAGC
rnacentral:lncRNA from 1 species